UUACACUGAGGAGAUACCCAUGCAACUCGGGUCAUUUUGCACCUUAAAGCUAGCCUUUAAACCAGACCUUAUAA
rnacentral:tRNA from 1 species